GCUCUUGUGGACAAAUUGGCUAAGUCACCACACUUUCACUGUGGAGAUUGCGGGUUCGAACCCCGUCGAGAGUA
rnacentral:tRNA from 1 species